AGCUUCGGCCAUCCGGCGAGGGAUGGGCCCGCGAUGCAUUAGCUAGUUGGUGGGGUAAUGGCCCACCAAGGCGACGAUGCGUAGCUGGUCUGAGAGGAUGAUCAGCCACACUGGGACUGAGACACGGCCCAGACUCCUACGGGAGGCAGCAGCCAGGAAUCUUGGGCAAUGGGCGCAAGCCUGACCCAGCAACACCGUGUGGGCGAUGAAGGCCUUCGGGUCGUAAAGCCCUGUUGAUAGGGACGAAGGGCGAAGGGUUAAUAGCCC
rnacentral:rRNA from 1 species